rnacentral:rRNA from 1 species
AUGCCGGACAGGAGCGGCGCGACCCUGUUUGAGGACCUGCCUGCGGAGAUGAUCGACAAGAUACUCACUCAGUUGCCGUCCAAGGAUCUCGGCGGCUGUCGUGCCGUCAGCACGUCGUUGCACAGUGCCACCUCCACGUCUGAAUUCAUGCUCGAACACCACCGCUGCCAGCCGUCACGUCCCAUCAUCGACGGAAGACCACGGCCCAGCGGCCUUGUCGUCUUCCGUGACGCUGGCGCCCCUCAACAGCUCUGGACCUUCGUCUGGGACCCCGAAAUCUCUUCGAAGGAACUCCUCCACGGUGCCUGUGAUGGCUUCCUCAUCGUCUCCCGAGGACUCCGAUUUUACAUCUGCAACCCAGCCAUCAGCAAGCAUGUUCCCCUACCGCUUCCUCAGGUUGGACCAGAGAACUACAACUCUGUGAUCGGUUUCUACCGGCACGAUCCCACUGGAGAGUACAGGGUGCUCUGGGUCUCGCACUCACAGCCAGGGUCACAAUCUAAACCCAGUUUAUACAUCAUUACAGUGGGAUCCAACAAGCCAAGGCAGGUCAGAGUGAGAAUGCCAGCAGUUUUGCCACCUUCCGCGGAACAGAAAUUACUAAAUGAUCUGUGCUCUUGGUCCUAUUAUGCACCAUCAGUCCACCAUUGUGGCGGCCUGCACUGGUGUCCUUAUGGCGCCAGCGACAUUUGGGCCUGCGGUGCAGACAUUAUUGUGUUUGACACACAAGCCGAGACAUUCCGGUGCAUCCGCAGUCCCGCCCAGUCGUGCCCUAAUAGGAAGUUGUUCCACAUGGAGGGGACCCUUGCUUUAUGGGGCGCCAGCUCGACACGUAGUUUUACCAUUAUGGAUGUCUGGGUGAUGCAGGAUUACAAGGCUCAAAUAUGGGUUUUCAAGUACCGGAUUGACCUAUCAAUGGUGGAGGCAUCACGGCAGCUCUAUUUAACUACUUUGAAAAAGAAAAAGAUAAGGCAAACACCACUUGAUUCAACGGUUGAAGAGUUCAAUGAUAUGGCUGUGCUCAACGAGCGUGAGCUGCUGAUCAAGUUUAAUAAGAAACAUGUGCUACACUGGGACAUUGAUGGCAAGUUCCUAGGUAUUGUGAACAUUGGAAAGAGUCAAUAUUGUAUGGCGCUUACUCAGUGCCGCCUCCAAGAGAGCGUUAUUCCAAUUCCGUCCCACGGGAUGCAAGGAGAAGAUGAGGAACCUCCAUUCUCCACAGAGCAUGUCUGA